GACGAACGCUGGCGGCGUGCUUAACACAUGCAAGUCGAACGGAAAGGCCCUGCUUUUGUGGGGUGCUCGAGUGGCGAACGGGUGAGUAACACGCGAGUAACCUGCCCUUGACUUUGGGAUAACUUCAGGAAACUGGGGCUAAUACCGGAUAGGAGCUCCUGCUGCAUGGUGGGGGUUGGAAAGUUUCGGCGGUUGGGGAUGGACUCGCGGCUUAUCAGCUUGUUGGCGGGGUAGUGGCUUACCAAGGCUUUGACGGGUAGCCGGCCUGAGAGGGUGACCGGCCACAUUGGGACUGAGGUACGGCCCAGACUCCAACGGGAGGCAGCAGUGGGAAAUAUUGCAAAAUGGGCGGAAGCCUGAGGCAGCAACGCCGCGUGCGGGAUGACGGCCUUCGGGGUGGAAACCGCUUUCGCCUGUGACGAAGCGUGAGUGACGGUAAUGGGUAAAGAAGCACCGGCUAACUACGUG
rnacentral:rRNA from 1 species